GUCACCUAGAUUAGGAAAAUGACAAAAGUACUCUUUUUUCUUAGGCUAUUUUACAAGGCUUCUGCAAAGAAAUGUAUUUUGUACAAUAGUAAUGAGGAACAGGUUUCAUAAAAAACCCAGGUAUUUGGGAGUAUUUGCAGGUUAAUGAAGGUCAAAAGUUGAAACAAGUUACUGUUUCUCCAAGUGAACAUGUUGCUUUCAGGGAAGAAAGAGGGCUGGAGUCAGGUCUUUCACUUCAGAGAAUAGGGUGAUGACUGACAGGCAGUGGGCAGAGAAAGCCAAUCCUUUCACAAAGGCAUCACGAUCACAACUGCUUCGUGGGACAGGCGCCAAGACCAACCGCCACCAGGAACCUGCCCCAGUUCCAGGGAAGGCUUAUUAAAAACUCCAGCGCCUUAUCACUGUUCAGACAAGACACCCGCGUGCUGAGCUGCAAUGAGGGCCACCUUGUGGUCAGAGGCAGUUUGUGGGCUGAUAGUCUACAGGUGAGGUGCUUUUUAAAUGGGUCUUGAGAAAUGCGAAGCAAGCAAGACAGGUGAAGAUGCGGGCGGG